rnacentral:rRNA from 1 species
CUGGAGUACUCGAGUGGCGAACGGGUGAGUAACACGUGAGUAACCUGCCCUUGACUUUGGGAUAACUUCAGGAAACUGGGGCUAAUACCGGAUAGGAGCUCCUGCUGCAUGGUGGGGGUUGGAAAGUUUCGGCGGUUGGGGAUGGACUCGCGGCUUAUCAGCUUGUUGGUGGGGUAGUGGCUUACCAAGGCUUUGACGGGUAGCCGGCCUGAGAGGGUGACCGGCCACAUUGGGACUGAGAUACGGCCCAG